rnacentral:rRNA from 1 species
CCUACGGGUGGCUGCAGUGAGGAAUAUUGGUCAAUGGACGCAAGUCUGAACCAGCCAUGUAGCGUGAAGGAAGACGGCCCUAUGAGUUGUAAACUGCUUUUGUAUGGGAAUAAAAUGUUCCACGUGUAGGAUUUUGUAUGUACCAUAUGAAUAAGGAUCGGCUAACUCCGUGCCAGCAGCCGCGGUAAUAUGGAGGAUCCGAGCGUUAUCCGGAUUUAUUGGGUUUAAAGGGAGCGUAGGUGGUUUGUUAAGUCAGUGGUGAAAGUUUGCGGCUCAACCGUAAAAUUGCAGUUGAAACUGGCAGGCUUGAGUUCAGUAGAGGUGGGCGGAAUGCGUGGUGUAGCGGUGAAAUGCUUAGAGAUCACGAAGAACUCCGAUUGCGAAGGCAGCUCACCGGACUGCAACUGACAUUGAGGCUCGAAAGUGUGGGGAGCAAACAGGAUUAGAUACCCGGGUAGUC